UGGGAUAAUCACAUGUCUUAUGAGGUACAC
rnacentral:piRNA from 1 species